rnacentral:lncRNA from 1 species
UAUACAUAUCUAUGUAUAUGCGUGUAUAAGUGUGUAUUUUUUAUGCUUGGAAAUACGAGACUUACGCGAAGGCGGAAAAGACUGUCUUUGCAGAGGAAGAAGUCCUCGGCGCCUCCAGGCAGCAAUAAGUCGACUGUCAGGAACGUCUUGGGUAUCAAGAAAACCAGAGGAAAAAGAGACGAAGACAGAUAAACGUUGUCGCAGAGUGCCCUGACUGUGGAGGCCGGAAGAAAUGGAGACGGUGCAGAGAGCAAGAAGGACGACAGCGAGUGGAGAAACGAAAAAAACGAAGGCUGAGGAAAGCGACGCAAGAAGACUAGGCUAAUGGUUACUGCGACAUGGUAACACGAACAGCGGGAAGUGAGCCGGCAAAGAUCUCGGGUGCAUCUUCAUCAGGGAAUUCUCGUGCAUGCAAUUCGGUGCAGAUGCUUUUCCAAAGCCUCCUCCUCCUUUCUCUAACGUGGUACAUCUUCAGUUAGAAACCAUUGCUCAGAACUCUUGAAAAUACCUUUUGCUGCCUCUCCAUGUCUGUAUUUGUACAACAUGCACAAUUUUCUAUAUUCAUAUGAAAGGAUUGAUCAUGUACUUUGAGGAGACGUUUGAGCGUGACGAAUUUCUUCUCCAUCUUGAAGGACGUCAAAGUCGUUGUAUGUCAAACACUGAUUUUCUCUUCCGUAAAAAAAAACUUUUCUUCGAACAGGAAAGACAGUCGGGUGGCAUUUACACACACGCGUAAGUGCAUUGUCUUGUACACAUAUACAUCUGUCGCCAUGUAUAGAUAUUUACAUAUAUAAAUACGUACAUAUAUAUAUAUAUGUAUAUGCAUAUGCAUGUAUAUCCAUGUACAUGUACAUGUAUAUAUAUAUAUAUAUAUAUAUAUAUGGGGUAGAAUAUGCAGAUGUAUAUUUUUUUUGAUAGUGGAUGCAUGCUUUUUGUUAUUUAGAGCUUCGGUGUGCGUGUAGAGACAAUUACAACGAAUUGCGUUUAUGGACGCAGUUCGCCUCGCGAUGAAAACGUACCCUGGCCGACAUCAGCGUUGACAUCGACAGCGAAAAAGUCGACGUCUUUGCAGAGAAGAAGAUGGAAAGCUCGUCGAGAUGCAAAGACGGGGAAGGGAACAGCGUGGAGGCUCGACAGAAGUAAAACUACCUAUAAUGAGGAACGAAAGCCGUAUCUAACCCUAGUAUCAUGCAAUAUGCAAGCACCCACUGUUCCGGCAGGACGUAAUACUUCGCUGUGGUGUUGAAAAGCACAGGAAAUACUCCACGAAAAAGAAGUUGACGAAAGAAGAGCAAUUCACAAGACGGUGUCACAAGAAGGUAAACCAAUCAGAAACACUUUCGCCAGUACCUUGCAGUAGUUCCCUUCUUCUCUUUGGGAUUUUCCAUGCUUCUUCCGUAU